rnacentral:rRNA from 1 species
GACGAACGCUGGCGGCGUGCUUAACACAUGCAAGUCGAACGGAAAGGCCUGCUUUCCCUUGUGGAUUGCGGGUGCUCGAGUGGCGAACGGGUGAGUACCACGUGAGUGAUCUGCCCCCAACUUGGGUAUAAGCCUGGGAAACUGGGUCUAAUUCCCGAUAGGACUGCAGGGUGGUGCCUGUCGUGGAACACGAUUUUCUAGUGGUUGGGGAUGAGCUCGCGGCCUAUCAGCUUGUUGGUGGGGUAAUGGCCUACCAAGGCGUCGACGGGUAGCCGGCCUGAGAGGGGGGACGGCGACACUGGGACUGGGUUACGGCCCAGACGGCUGCGGGAGGCAGGAGUGGGGAAUAUUGGACAAUGGGCGGAAGCCUGAUGCAGCGACGGCGCGUGGAAGAUGACGGCCUUCGGGAUGUAAACUCCUUUCGACCGCGAGGAAGCCACCUGGUUGGAAGGGUGGUGACGGUAGUGGUAGAAGAAGCACCGGCUAACUACGUG